GACGAACGCUGGCGGCGUGCUUAACACAUGCAAGUCGAACGGUAAGGCCCUGCUCUUGUGGUGUGCUCGAGUGGUGAACGGGUGAGUAACACGCGUGUAUCCUGCGCCUGACAUCGGGAUAACUUCAUGGAACUGGGUCGAAUAUCGCGUAUGAGCUCGGGCUGCACGGGGGGGUUUGGAAAGUGGCGGCGUUGGGGGAAGGAAUGGUGGCUUAUCAUCGUGUUGGUGGGUGGGUGGGUUAAUAAGGCUUUGACGGGAAGCCGGCCUGAGAGGGUGACAGGCCACAUAGGGACAGAGAUGCGACCCAGACGCCUACGGGAGGCAGCAGUGGGGAAUAGUGCACGAUGGGCGGAAGCCUGAUGCAGCAACGCCGCAUGGUGGAUGACGGCCUUCGGGUUAUAACCCGCUUUCGCCUGUGACGAUGCGUGAGUGACGGUAAUGGGUAAAGAAGCACCGGCUAACUACGUG
rnacentral:rRNA from 1 species